rnacentral:rRNA from 1 species
UACGUAGGUGGCAAGCGUUGUCCGGAAUUAUUGGGCGUAAAGCGCGCGCAGGCGGUCCUUUAAGUCUGAUGUGAAAGCCCACGGCUCAACCGUGGAGGGUCAUUGGAAACUGGGGGACUUGAGUACAGAAGAGGAAAGCGGAAUUCCACGUGUAGCGGUGAAAUGCGUAGAGAUGUGGAGGAACACCAGUGGCGAAGGCGGGAUCCUGGGCCAGUACUGACGCUGAGGAGCGAAAGCGUGGGGAGCAAACAGG